rnacentral:lncRNA from 1 species
CCAAGGCAACCUCCCACCACAAACCUCCAGGAUGGGCAAAAACAUAGAAACCUUCAUAAACACCAUUCGAGUUAAAAACACUACAUGCGGUGGAUGUUGCUCUCACACAUUUUGUACAAAUUCAAAAAACAAAGAACAGUCAUUUUAACGACUUGGGUGCCCCCAUUCGAGUUAAAAACGCUACAUGCGGUGGAUGUUGCUCUCACACAUUUUGUACAAAUUCAAAAAACAAAGAACAGUCAUUUUAACGACUUGGGUGCCCCCCUCCCCUAAUGGUAUCAAAGGCAAAAAACGCAAAAAACUCUAUGGUCCAUUGGGCCUUUAAGCAAAGCGCAAAUAAAGCGUGGCUUUAAUGAAGAAUGACACAGAUGGAGAAAAAUAAAAACAUAUAUGAAUAGUCCAAGAC